UGAAAUUAAGAAGAUUGUUCACUACAACCCCGCUUCCUUUUGAACUCACAAUAAUGUUUUUCUUCGCAAUUGCGUUUUACUGGCAGUUGUAAUCGAAGUCUAACAUUUCAGUAAAGCAUCGAGAAUGCAUUCCAGCUAUUUCUAUUCAACUCGCUAAAGCCAUGGAAAUGGCUAAUGAAAAAGCGACAACAGUUCAAGGCAGUCCAAGUAAUUUUGUUACUACAAAUCAAGCGUUCGGUCGGGACCUACACAAUACUGCUGGCUAGGAUGAAAAGUAUAGGCCGCAUGAAAGGUAGAACAGUCAACACAACACUGGUGUGCUGGGAUUAGUGCUAAAUCAGAUUAGUCUAAACUGUAUUGAUGAAGAAUGGAGCGGGACUUUGAAGAUGCAGCUGCAAGCCGAUACUGGACACAAAGGGAGAAACAUUGUUGUUGGACAAUCUGGACAAACCAGCAAAGAGGGACAUCAAACAGUGGACACGGAGCCGCAAGCCACAGCUGGCGCUUUGCUGAGUUUGAGUACAUGAUCAAAUCAGCUGAUGAAUAAAGGAGAGCCAACCGCUCUUAUGGGAAAAGAGGUGUCGCCAAAACAACCAUCACAGCCCUACCAUGGACACCUGAUUGCUCAGAACAUUUAAAGAGAAGAGAAGCUGUGGUUUACCGGGCAACUGAGGACAUGAUGUCUGGUGUGGAUACUGGAUUUUUGGUUUCCUAAUCAAAUUAGCUGACCAGCGAAGGUCACUUGAACUGGACUGAUUUACACACACACACACAAGUCUCAAUUGCUGCUACCAGACACUCUAUAUUGUUUUUAGUAUCUUUAUUAGGGUGUAGUUUUUUUGUUGUCCAUUACAUAAAAUGUUUUGCUAUUUGUUUUUAGCCUUUCUAUUGGUGCAUUGCCUUGAGGUUAGUAUUGCUUAAAGGUUUUAUUCACAUUGACAAUUUAUUUUCUAUUGUUACUCCUCAAAAUCUGUACAUUAUUCCCAACUUUUGGCCACCAUGUGUCCUUUUGAGAUAUUUCUAUCCUUGUAUUGCUGUGUGGGAACCUGCAAACAAGCAUUUCCACUUUAAAUGUAACUAUUUGCACUUUAAUUACACUGCUGUUUUUAGUAAUGUGUCCCAAUAUUUAUUUGAUUUGAAUUAAUAUACGUAACAUAUUUUCUUGUAACCCUGUUAAAUUAUUUGUAAACUUUAAAGAAAGUUCUGAUGCUUCAU